rnacentral:lncRNA from 1 species
UUCAAAGGUGAAAGUGAAGUAAUGAUGCAAAGCAUGGGUAAAAUGGAGUGGUGUUGAAAUGAUUCAAAGUAAUGAUGCAUGAAAUCUGAAAUGAUGGAGGGAACAAGGAAUGGAGUAGCAAUUAAGUGCAAGGAGGGAACAUGGAUGAUGAUAAGGUAAUCUUGACUCAUGUUUCUUCUUUGGUUGCUGAGCUCUUUGUCAUUUUUACAUUAAUUCUUCUUUCUUUUUAACACAUUCCAAGCCUUUUUAGUCUUCAAUUUCGUCCGUCCACCAUACUCCAUGCAUGUGAUAUCCAUUCCAUGCCCAAAACUGCUCCAAAAUGCACCAAAAUGCACCUUAUUGCUUUAUAAGGCCUAUGGACCUACAAACACACGAAAAUAGCUUAAAAUACAUAAUUAACUAAGAAAUAACAACAUAAAUGCAUGAGAACAAGCUAACUCAAUCGCAUAAAUAUGCUCCUAUCAAUCCCUUGUCCCCUUCACCCAUUAGAUUUCAUUCACUUUCACCUCCACUACAUGCACUCAUUGAUGCACCACUCCUCCACUUUCCUUGCCCAUGCCGUGCAUCAUGAAUCCACCUGCACCUAUGACUCAUUUCUGCACCAUUCCACCUCCCUUUCCUUUAUCUACCAUGUGCCCAAUCAUUCAUGUUCCCCACUUGCAUUCAUAGCUACAACACCACUCCAUUUCACCCCCCAUGCUUUGCAUCAUUACUUCACUUUCACCUUUGAAUCAUUGCUAACACCACCAUCCAUCCCUCCAUGCCAUGCACUUCCUCUAUAAAAGGAAGUGUGUGUGGCAGCCAUUACAUUCAGUUUUUGCUAGAGAAUUCAUCCCCAUUUCGAUACAACCUUCAUCCAAACACUUCCAUUCAUCCUCACAUCCAUUCCUCCAUACAAACAAACUUUCAAACACUCACCAACACCUUGUGCCGUAGCAAAGGAAGGAAAGGAAAGUGCUUGGAUGUGCUUGCUGUCCAACUUGGAUCGUUGGAGCAUUUAGGUGUUUUCUUCCUUUUGUUUUCAAUGUCUAAAUUUAUUUAUCUUUGCUUUGUAAGUAUGAGAAACUAAACCCCCCUUAGCUAGGGGGGAAUUCGAAACUAUGUUCAUGCUUGCAAUAUGAUUUGAUUACUUUCAGUUGUGAUUCAUAAGUUGUGAAUUCAAUUUACUUAUCC